GAGCAGGCUAAUGUCCCAAAGCUACGGACCUCAGCAAAUCCUGACUGGCCACGCCCACCACAGCCACGUGAUAUAACCACGCUUUCAUCUGCAACAGACUGGGCCCGGGACAGAGUCCAGGAGAUCCCACUGUGAUGUCACAGCGGUCAUCGUAAGGAUGCUGAAAACUCUGACUGCUUUGUAGAGUUUAUCCCCGACAUAAUAUACAUGUCAUAAAAUCGCACACGAAGGGGGAUUUAAUUUUUUUUAUUCUAAUUAGUGUGUGUGUGUGUGUGUGUGUGUGUGUGUGUCCACGCAUGAAGGUCUGAGGACAACUCGCGGGAGUCAGUUCUCUCUUUCCACCAUGUGGGCCAAACUUAGUCUGUUAGACAUGGCGGCGGUAUCUUUACCCGCUGAGCCCUCUCACUGGUUCCAAAGCGGGUCUCUAAGCCCAGCACACACUGCCGUCACGGACAAUGUUCUGUUAAGUGUGACUUCAGGAAGGAUGGAUUGAAGGCUCUGGGGUUAUUUAGAGACAGGGACACAUGUAGCCCAGACUGGUUCCAAGCUCACCAUGUAGCCGAAGAUGGCCUUGAACUCCUGACCUCCCUGCCUUCAGCUUCCCGAGUGCUAGGACUAUAGCACUGCCUGAUCAAUCUUGGCUUCGAGCCGAGAUCUUAGUCCGGGGACAUUUGGCUUCCUUCCCAGGUCGUAUCUGACGCCUCCCCACCCCUUCCCGGAGAAAAAGCGGGCUGUGGGGCGGGAGGGAUUCUGGUGCCACAGCUCGCAACAUUCUGGGCUUGUCUGGCCUUCAAUGUGCGAUUUUGAGAGUUGGAGCGAGAAGAAACGAACUCGGAAUGGCACGCGGGUGUGAAGCCGGCUGCGGCGCCAAGUAUUUGCCUGUAUUUAAAACACAUAUGGGUGAUAUUUUUAAAUAUCUUUGCUAUGUGACUGAAAAACAUUGCAGUUGCUACUUCGUGGACGUGGGUUUUUAUGCAAACCCGGGAUGGAGAGGCUGGGUGUGUUGUUCCUCACAGGCUCUGUGGGAGAGUGGGCCCAGCAGGCCCUGUGUGGGGCAGGCUAGGCCCCACCUGUGGACUCCGGGGGCUGCCUGAGGCUCUCGUGUAGCCCAGGCUAGCCCCCAUCUCAUUAUGUAACCUAGGAUGACCUCGAAGACUAUCUUCCUACCUCUACCUCCAGAGUGCUGGAGUCACAGGCCUGUGUCUGUAAGCACCAUCCCCAACAUCUUCAUUCAACAGUGUUUCAGUCAUGGGAACAAAUGUCCUCAUCUCAGUCCUGCUCAGGCUUGGAUAUCUUCCCCAGUGCCUUCCUUCCCAGGCCUGUCCUCUCAGGGGAUAAAGGUGACUCCCACAUUCCAGACCUCCAUCUCCCUGAACUGCAGCUAAACACCUUCCUGAGAGCACCCUCAGAAAUCCUGGGCAAGCCAGGUGUGGUGGCGCAUGCCUUUCGUCCCAAGGCUUGGGAGGCAGAACCAGGUGGGUUUCUGUGAGUUCAAGGCUAACCUGGUCUACAUAGUGAGUUUCAGGACAGGGAGGGCUAGAGUGAGACCUUGUCUAAAUAAAUAGUAGAGAAAAAUCUCCCUAGUCCAGGUUAGAUCACACAGCCAUGCCUGACCCAGUGGUUCCAAUGGUAGACCAGGCCCAAACCAAGAGGACAUUAAGAAACAGAGUGUCCUGCCCAGAAAGGAUAGGAGGCUUGCCCUAGAUCUCAUGGCCAAAAGCAAUGAACUUAGAGUCACCUCUGAUCUGCCUGGUGAGUGGCUCAGGUGUCCUUGCCACACCCAAUCUCAACUCCCUUCCUCUGCUCCCAUCCCCUCCCCUCCCUCUAGCUACCCUGAUUUUCUGAAGCCAAGGCCAUAGCUGCAGAUUAAAUACUACCACCACCACCACCACCUCCACCACCACCACCAUCAUCAUCACCUCCACCACCAUCAUCACCACCUUCACCACCACCACCAUCAUCACCUCCACCACCACCACCACCACCACCUCCACCACCACCACCACCAUCAUCACCUCCACCACCACCAUCACCUCCACCACCAUCAUCACCACCUCCACCACCACCACCAUCAUCACCUCCACCACCAUCAUCACCACCUCCACCUCCACUACCAUCAUCACCACGAAGACAGAAGAUAAAACCUAAGUCUUGAUGAGGUGAUGGGGACCCCACAAGGGAUUAGUGGCCAUCUAAGGGAACUCACAAGUCACAGACCUCUCCUCAAGUUAUAAAAGCCUGAGUCCCCAGUGGGAGGGGAUCCUUGCCCAGAGCUGCCCACAUGUUGAACAGGAGCUUCAAGACCUCCAGUGAGUCUCCACCCACACUGGGGUGACUUUUUGGCUGUGCAGCCUUUAAGAUACCCACACCACUUUGAGAAACUAAUAAACUCAUUGGUUUCCUAAACUGGACCAGAGUGAUCCCUCGAUGGUGCCUGAUCUUGGAGAGGAGAGAUCUGUUCAUGUCUCCUCUGGAAAGGUCACGUCCCAGUGACGUCUACAGGCUAAGAGAAUGAACCUUACGAGCGCCCGACCAAGCAGCUCUACAACUCCAGCCAUGCAGCCUCCAGUCCUGGGAGCCCCCGCUUCCCACUGUUACCCAUCCCCUGCCCUGGUGCUUUUCGGUGCUUUCCAGUUUGUGUACUGUCAGGGAGCACUGUUGAAUUGUUGGUUAAAUUCGGGGAGUGUUUGGGGUCCAGGAGAGGCUCAGGGACCUGGUAUAAGCAUGGAGACACGAACAACACAGCCCUUCUAGCAGAUGACUCCAACUUCCCCCAUGACCUCUACACCUUCCUCCUCGCUGCCAUCUGUCCCUAGAGACGAACAGCAUGCGACCACAGACCGUGGGCAGCAUCUUUCCCACCAUAUUUUCAGACCCAGCAGAAAAGAAAGAGUGACAGCCAAAGGGUGGAUCCCUGUGGGUCGCCUUCAGUCUGUCAGCCCCCAAGCAUCGGGUGUCCAUGUGUUCCAGGUGAGGCAGCAGAGGCUCAGAGAGGGAAAGUGGAUCUCCUGGGGUCACACAGCUGGGAAAUGGAGCUGGGCUUACUCCAUUUUUUUUCUUUUCCUGUAUGUUACCAGGGCCCUGGGGACCCCAAAGUCUUCCGGAGGAGAUCCUGACAGGAAAUUCCAUGACUACAAUAUUAUCUGUGACCAUUUAUCAGGGUCGCAUCUAGCUAGUAACGUCCUCCAACACCAGCAUAAAAGAUGUAUGGUCACUGUCAAUUAACAGGAAGCUUUGAGCGUGCCUGGGAGAGACACGGAUCAGUCAGCAAGGAUCCUAACUCCUUGUUGUUCACAUUCUGCGCCACUCAGCCUUACCUCCUGAUCAAAAGAUGGCCGUCGUAAUAGCCCAAUGUAUCAGCUCCUUAUACCAGAGUCCCACCUAGCAAAGAGGAAGGCACGGCAGGGCUAAAGGAAGAUUCCACUUCCUUUUUCAAAGAGAAAGAUCUUAUUUAGAGCUGUCCCCUCUCUCAGAAGAGUUGAACAGACCUUGGGCCAGACGGUUUCAUUCCCGUAAGCCUCAGUUUCCCCACCCAGGAGAAGAGAACAGUUGCUUCCUCUCCAGGUGUGAAAAUGAACCUUGCCUGGUACUGGGCAGGCAAGGAGGAGCCGCAGGAGCCCUGAUAGCAUCACUGAGCUGUCAGGGCUUCUCAUCCCUUCAGCGAGUCCUUCCUUCCUGGGUCUACACCCAUUCUCUGUCUUCUGCCUCAUUUGUACAGGAAGAGUCUGGUCAGGAGAUCUGGGGUUGGGGUAGUGGGUGUCUGUUCCUGCUCCUCCUGCCCCUGGGAUUUUCUACUGACAAGAGAACAGUCAACGGCCUCUCCCUGUCCACUGCCAUCCACCUCAGGCAACAUCUAUGUCUGAAGGGAGCCAACUAGAUCAGGAGCCCCUCCCCUCUGCUAUGUCAAGCCUUGACAGGCAGGGUCUCACACAUCCCAAGCUUUCUCUAUCUCAGAGGAUGACCUUGAACUCCCGAGACCUUCCAGGCUGGGAUUGCAGGCGUGUACCACUGGGCCUGCUUUAUGCAGUACUGGGAAUGGAACCCAGGGCUUCAUGCCUGUUAAGUGAACAUUCUACACACUAAGACACACCCUCGUCUGGGAAGAGACUCUUCUCUGGAUGCCAGUUGGAGUCCAUUGGUUUUUUUCCUGCUGAGAGCCAGACUGAAUCAACGCAUCCUUUUCUUUCUUUCUCUUUUUUUUUUUCCUCCCGAAUAAAUCAUUUGCAAACUUUGGUGGUGUUUUUUUUGUUUGAUUGUUUUCCCAAAACAGGGUUUCUCUGGGUCUCCUUGGCUACAGUGGGUUGGCCUGAUGCUGCUUGUAUUCUAAUGCUAAUUUGGGAUAACUAGUCUUGGGGGCCCCCAGAGAGUCCACUUGUGGACAGUGACUCUUUACAGAAGGAGAGGGAAAGAAAGACAGAAGAAGGGGGAAGGAGGUAAAGAAGAAAAGCAGGAAACAUGUGAUCCAGUAGGGGAAAAGGAAAGGGGGCCCCUUAGGGAAGGGGAAGGGAGGUAAAAUAUCAGUAUAGACAGCUGAAAAGGCCACAAGGAAUCAUACUAUUACCCAUUUCCAAAAACCCCCACAAUGCUGCAUGCAAUUCCAUGGCAG